GCCUAAGGGACACUUAUAUCUAUAUCCCAUCAGAAAUAUUUUCGACAGCAGAAUACUCUGGAGUUGGUCACGUUCAAUGAUGAUGUAUCCUUAUAUCUCACCUGUAUGCUAUACCAGAGUCUCCACACUCCUUGGUUAAGAUGACAACCAACCCAUAUGGCCUACAGUGACCUAUGCUUGAUAGAAGCUGUCAUCCUUAUUAACAGCCUAUCA
rnacentral:lncRNA from 1 species